CUACUUUUGUGGUUGUUAAAACGUUUCCUAAAACUGGUAAUUGUACUCCCCACAUACUUUUUCCCACAUUUUCUACAAUAAAUCAAAUAAAUCACCCCAGCCGAAUCGCAAUCAAAGUUGUAAUUAAUGUAGUAUUUUACUUUUCCCUCGAGAAAUUCUUUCCCCUCAUCUACAUAAUUACAAAUCUGACAACGACUCUCAUUACACUUACUCAUCCCUACACUUACCUCCCUAGGCGUUUUAACCUUAGAUCUAACCAAACUAUCUUUUAAAUUUUUUGGUCUCUUAUAUGAAACAAUCGGCCUACUACCGAAGACAUCC